CAGAAACUUUGUAAAUUCUGAAGAAUCAUCUCGCUCGUUUUUCAUAAACACAAUGAGUGUGGGUGUUAAUUUUACCAACUACACAAAAACAAAAUGGUAUCACAUGACGCGUGCAAAUUCUGAUUAUUAUUCUGAUUCUGAUUCAUGGGAAGAUGAAACCCGGUGUUACAGAGAUACAGAUAAUACACUUGAUCUACCAGUCACAGACUGUGAAUCUUCAAAGAACUGUCUUCUUUGUUGUUCCUUACUUGGAAAGAAAAUGGCUAUAACAUUCUUUGAAGAAGAAAUAGACGAUACCAAUUCAACUUGUUCCUGUUUUGAUGUUCUACCGGAAGUAGUUGCUGAUCAAUAUGCGGAUGACAAAACAUCAUGUUACAC